UACACUCCUGCGGGAGGCAGCAGUGGGGAAUAUCGCACAAUGGGCGCUAGCCUGAUGCAGCCAUGCCGCGUGUAUGAAGAAGGCCUUCGGGUUGUAAAGUACUUUCAGCGGGGAGGAAGGCGAUAAGGUUAAUAACCUUGUCGAUUGACGUUACCCGCAGAAGAAGCACCGGCUAACUCCGUGCCAGCAGCCGCGGUAAUACGGAGGGUGCAAGCGUUAAUCGGAAUUACUGGGCGUAAAGCGCACGCAGGCGGUCUGUCAAGUCGGAUGUGAAAUCCCCGGGCUCAACCUGGGAACUGCAUUCGAAACUGGCAGGCUAGAGUCUUGUAGAGGGGGGUAGAAUUCCAGGUGUAGCGGUGAAAUGCGUAGAGAUCUGGAGGAAUACCGGUGGCGAAGGCGGCCCCCUGGACAAAGACUGACGCUCAGGUGCGAAAGCGUGGGGAGCAAACAGGAUUAGAAACCCGAGUAGUCCCAUGAU
rnacentral:rRNA from 1 species